rnacentral:rRNA from 1 species
AAUCAACGCUGGCGGCGUGCCUCAGACAUGCAAGUCGAACGAUUAAAGCUCUCUUCGGAGAGUGUAUAAAGUGGCGCACGGGUGAGUAACACGUAAGUAAUCUACCUUCGAGUGGGGAAUAACGUCCGGAAACGGACGCUAAUACCGCAUAACGCAGCGGCAUCGCAAGAUGACAGUUGUUAAAGAUUUAUCGCUUGAAGAGGAGCUUGCGGCAGAUUAGCUGUUGGUAAGGUAACGGCUUACCAAGGCUACGAUCUGUAACCGGUCUAAGAGGACGGUCGGUCACACUGACACUGAAUAACGGGUCAGACUCCUACGGGAGGCAGCAGUCGGGAAUUUUGGGCAAUGGGGGAAACCCUGACCCAGCAACGCCGCGUGAAGGAUGAAGUAUUUCGGUAUGUAAACUUCGAAAGAAUAAGGAAGAAUUAAUGACGGUACUAUUUAUAAGGUCCGGCUAACUACGUGCCAGCCGCCG